GUCUAUGGCCAUACAACCCUUAACACACCCGAUGUCAUCUGAUCUUGGAAGCUAAGCGGGGUUGGGCCUGGUUAGUACUUGAAUGGGAGACAUUUACC
rnacentral:rRNA from 1 species